rnacentral:rRNA from 1 species
GAGUUUGAUCCUGGCUCAGGAUGAACGCUAGCGGCAGGCUUAAUACAUGCAAGUCGAGGGGCAGCAGCUUUAUAGCAAUAUAGAGGCUGGCGACCGGCAAACGGGUGCGGAACACGUACACAACCUUCCUUGAAUAGGGGGAUAGCCCAUAGAAAUGUGGAUUAAUACCCCGUAAUAUAGCGGUGUGGCAUCACACUGUUAUUAUAGUUUCGGCGAUUCGAGAUGGGUGUGCGGCUGAUUAGGUAGUUGGCGGGGUAAAGGCCCACCAAGCCUUCGAUCAGUAGCUGAUGUGAGAGCAUGAUCAGCCACACGGGCACUGAGACACGGGCCCGACUCCUACGGGAGGCAGCAGUAAGGAAUAUUGGUCAAUGGACGCAAGUCUGAACCAGCCAUGCCGCGUGAAGGAUGAAGGUCCUCUGGAUUGUAAACUUCUUUUAUAGGGGGCGAAAAAAGGUCUUUCUAGAUCACUUGACAGUACCCUAUGAAUAAGCACCGGCUAACUCCGUGCCAGCAGCCGCGGUAAUACGGAGGGUGCAAGCGUUAUCCGGAUUCACUGGGUUUAAAGGGUGCGUAGGCGGGUAGGUAAGUCAGAGGUGAAAUCCUGGAGCUUAACUCCAGAACUGCCUUUGAUACUAUCUAUCUUGAAUAUGGUGGAGGUAAGCGGAAUAUGUCAUGUAGCGGUGAAAUGCAUAGAUAUGACAUAGAACACCUAUUGCGAAGGCAGCUUACUACGCCUAUAUUGACGCUGAGGCACGAAAGCGUGGGGAUCAAACAGGAUUAGAUACCCUGGUAGUCCACGCCCUAAACGAUGAUUACUCGACGUAUGCGAUACACAGUAUGCGUCUGAGCGAAAGCAUUAAGUAAUCCACCUGGGAAGUACGACCGCAAGGUUGAAACUCAAGGAAUUGGCGGGGUCCGCMMAAGCGGUGGAGCAUGGKGUUUAAUUCGAUGAWACGCGAGGAACUUACUGGGCUAGAUGCAGUCUGACCGUGGUGAAGCUCAUUCGWAGCAUACSGCMGAUGKUAAGGUGCUGCAUGGCCUGUCGUCAGCYCGKGCAGAAGGGUGGUUAAGUCCSCACGAGGCAUCCAUCUAGUGCACAGGUAGCYUGGAAUCUURGUGAAACUGKCCGCUCGUAAGAC